rnacentral:lncRNA from 1 species
GUCUGUGUCGUCCCGGAUGUACCCGAUGGCCACCAUGCACCGGCCGUCGUGCGCCUACAUCCAGUCGGCUCCGUGCGUCCUGUUCCUGCCCAAGCUCGUCCUCCCGUGACUCCCUUUGUGGAGACUUUUUUGACCCAAUCGCUGGUCCGGCGACUCCCAACUGGCGGGCUGACUCCGACGGUCCGACGAGCCCCUCUACUGGUGAGUCCUGAUGUCGCUUAUGCUGCUGUUGUUCCACGUCUCGUGGUUGUAGAGAGCCCAUGUCAGGUCGAGCAAAUUGCUCAUGGCAGGUCGAACAAAAAAUGCUUGUUUACAGAGAAUAAAAUCGAUUGGCCCCUGUGCUUGGAGGUGAGCGUGUGCUUGGCCAUGGCAGCGACAGCACGGCCGACGGCGGCGGCUAGAAUGUGCACCUCAUUUCCUUUUGAUGAUUAGCAACCAAACACCCAAUCCAGAAGGUUGAAGCAGUGCAGCGUCUGAUAUCGUGUCCUGAACUUCUGCUUCUGCUUCAGUACUUGUAGUACUAGGUGCAGAUAUAUAUAGGCGUCAGGAAGGUUUUUGUUCACAGCCAAAGUUUUGCGAAGUUAUAUAUGCAUCGUCAGGUACAUGUGGGCACGUUAAAGUACAUGUAAGUGAAGAUACUGUAAAAAUGGAACAAUUCUGCUUAGUUCGGCCUCCUGCCGUCCUGCGAUGCAAUUGCAACAAAAUGCAGGACGAGUCGUGUGGCCAGACACCCGUUGUUUUGCGUCCUAACUCUCCUGCUUUCCUGUAUUUAGACUUGCUUAGAGCCAGGAACAUGUCACUGUUACAAAUCUGAACUUUUGACCUUUUCGCUGGUUGCCAUUGGUAACUGUUAAAAAUUAGAGGUCAUGUUGUUUGCUGCAGCUCGAAUCUUUUCUUGCUGCUUGCCUGAUUGGCCUUUCGGCACUGGUACCUUGUUUUGUUUUUGCUGCACAGGUGAUAGAUGGCAAUGUAAAGCUCUGUAUUGUCGUUUAUAUGUGUAAUUCUUGUGUAUAUUGCCUGUGUGCCAUCUUGCGAUGUUUGGUGGUAACGGGAAAUUGGAGCUGCAAUGUUGCGCGUGCAUCUGAUUUAUGAAUGGUUGUUUUGAUUUUGUAUGUGUAGUAGAUGUUCGCGCUGCUAUUUUAUUUGUUUCUACAGUGUGAUACACCAGAACUGUUGAUGUCUCAUUUUCCAGGAGAUGAGAUGUUGUUUACUUCCCAGGAGACGCCAGCGCGUGUUGCUAGAAAAGCAGGCGCAAGUUGCUAUAGAUGCGAGAGCAAGUUGCGUGUUGUGUUUUUACCGACCAAAACAUGCCCAACGUUUACUAGGUACUUGCCUGGAGAUACUACUAUCUUUUCUAUAGUGGGCGUGUUUUGCGAGAGACGUUGGAGUGAGUUGCCAGAGACUUGUGUGCAAGUUGUGUAUUGUGUUUUUUACUGACUAAAGCUUGUCGAACAUUUACUAGAGAUAGUUUUUCCUGUUGAUGCUCAGUUUGGCCAUCGCUGCGGGUAAGAUCUCUACCAGUUGAUGCUCAGUUACCUACCAUUAUCUUUAAGUUCCUAUAUUAAUACGAAGUUGCCCACUGUCAAUGCUCAGUUGUCUAGCAUUGCUAAUUUUUUAGUCGCCUGCUGUGAUUGAUUAGUUGCUUGCCAUCGACAAUUAGUUGCCUGCAAUAUUGUGAAAAGUUGAUGUUGUUG